rnacentral:rRNA from 1 species
UCCUACGGGAGGCAGCAGUGAGGAAUUUUGCGCAAUGGCCGCAAGGCUGACGCAGCAACGCCGCGUGGGUGAAGAAGGCCUUCGGGUCGUAAAGCCCUGUCAGGUGGGAAGAAUGAGCGGGGGGUUAAUAUCCCUUCGCAGUGACGGUACCACCAAAGGAAGCACCGGCUAACUCCGUGCCAGCAGCCGCGGUA